rfam:Gossypium raimondii Chr10_contig_36, whole genome shotgun sequence.
UGUUAAAAUUUUCAUCCAUUUCUACUGUUAAAAAUUGGCGUGGCUGAUGAACUGUAUAUCAUGUGUACUUCAUACAAAUGUGUAAAGAUUCAUUUUUAACCGUGAAAAUGAUAAGAUUUUUAAUA